rnacentral:rRNA from 1 species
AACGAACGCUGGCGGCAUGCCUAACACAUGCAAGUCGAACGAGACCUUCGGGUCUAGUGGCGCACGGGUGCGUAACGCGUGGGAAUCUGCCCUUGGGUUCGGGAUAACAGUUGGAAACGACUGCUAAUACCGGAUGAUGACUUCGGUCCAAAGAUUUAUCGCCCAGGGAUGAGCCCGCGUCGGAUUAGCUAGUUGGUGAGGUAAGAGCUCACCAAGGCGACGAUCCGUAGCUGGUCUGAGAGGAUGAUCAGCCACACUGGGACUGAGACACGGCCCAGACUCCUACGGGAGGCAGCAGUGGGGAAUAUUGGACAAUGGGCGAAAGCCUGAUCCAGCAAUGCCGCGUGAGUGAUGAAGGCCUUAGAGUUGUAAAGCUCUUUUACCCGGGAUGAUAAUGACAGUACCGGGAGAAUAAGCCCCGGCUAACUCCGUG